GCCCGGGUGGCGGAAUUGGCAGACGCGCUAGAUUCAGGAUCUAGUGGGGGCAACCCCGUGCUGGUUCGACUCCAGUCCCGGGCACCA
rnacentral:tRNA from 1 species